rnacentral:lncRNA from 1 species
AACUCUAGAUAUGUUCCUUUUGGCUAUUAAAGGAAUUUGGUCCAAGUGAACAUCCCAUUUUUUGUGGCCAAGAUUACUGCUAUAAACAAAAGCAUUGAUUUUUCUCUUUACAAAGUGGUGAAGAAGCAGAGGAGGAAGAAGAAGAAGCAAAAGAAGCAAGCUACCAUGAGAAAGUAAAGAAGACCACCCUUGGGGCAAAAUAAGCAUACAUCAAACACAAAAUUUAGUUGGAGUAAGCAUGAACAAUCCUUCAAUCUAAUCCAUUUUUCUUAGAAGGCUUGUUCACAAUGUACACUUAAGAAAAGACACCCUUUUUUUGCGGUAACAUGUAGACCACCAAACUCAGUAAAAAGGGCUGGUUACAAUCAAAAUGCCCC